rnacentral:rRNA from 1 species
GGCAUGGAGGCAACUCUGACCCAGCCAUGCCGCGUGAAGGAUGACUGCCCUAUGGGUUGUAAACUUCUUUUAUAUGGGAAGAAACUUAUCUACGUGUAGAUAACUGACGGUACCAUACGAAUAAGGAUCGGCUAACUCCGUGCCAGCAGCCGCGGUAAUACGGAGGGUGCGAGCGUUAUCCGGAAUUAUUGGGUUUAAAGGGUGCGUAGGCGGAAAUUUAAGUCAGUGGUGAAAGCCUGCAGCUUAACUGUAGAAUUGCCAUUGAUACUGAAUUUCUUGAAUCUAAUUGAAGUAGGCGGAAUAUGACAUGUAGCGGUGAAAUGCUUAGAUAUGUCAUAGAACACCGAUAGCGAAGGCAGCUUACUAAGUUAGUAUUGACGCUAAUGCACGAAAGCGUGGGGAGCGAACAGGAUUAGAUACCCUGGUAGUCCACGCCGUAAACGAUGAUUACUCGCUAUUGGCGAUACACUGUCAGUGGCUAAGCGAAAGUGAUAAGUAAUCCACCUGGGGAGUACGAUCGCAAGGUUGAAACUCAAAGGAAUUGACGGGGGCCCGCACAAGCGGUGGAGCAUGUGGUUUAAUUCGAUGAUAUGCGAGGAACCUUACC